GCCAUUUUGAAGUCAAUCGAUAAGGAAUAUUCACAAGUGAACUGAAUUUAUAAUGGAUAAUACAUGAAGCACAUCUGCUGGUACUUUUAAAUGACACAGCAACAGUCCGUGGGUAUUUACUGAUGUAUUGUGUUUUGGACUAAAUGUUUUUAUUUGAUUGGAUCAUCUGGACCUUUGCUAGUGUAACGAGACUGUUGUUGUCGGGAUGUUAUGGAUCAGUGGACUACUAUGAGGCUCCAUAGGCCUUCAGUAUCUGAAGCCAUAAAGUUGGUGGACUGCUUGAGCAUGCUGCGUCUCUAACAGCCAGUGAUUCCUCUUCAAUGACACUUUAAAAUGUUCUGAGACCACACUAUGCGGUCUCACACAGAGGCCUUCUCUGAUCGCAUUUUGGGACGUCUCAAACUGUGGGGAUCUCGUGUGGUGGAACGGUACGAAUAAACCUGGACCCUUGCUUCUUCUCACUCACGGCUGGUGUCUUAUUUUUCUUUCUCCAAUUGAGUAUGUGAGUAUCUGUUUCUAUGUUAAGUGUCUUCAGGUAAUAGGCAAAAUUUAGAAAGGGUAACAAUGGAUAGUGUCAAAGCAAAGGAAAGUUCAUUAUGGUUUUUAUAUGAAGUUUAUUUGUUGAACUAGUCCACUGUUCAAAGGAGACCCAAAUGCAAAACUGCAUGUGGUAAUUGCAGUCCCAGGGCCAUAAUAGCAAUCGUAGUCCCAGCAACCACAGUGAGAAUGUCCAACACACAUGUUACUAACAUUUGUGUUGAAUUAUUUUAAAAUAGAAUUUUGAGUUAUUGCUUUGAAUACAUAAUUUAUGCUGUCAGUAUGCAUAUGUAAUUUA
ensembl:lncRNA